rnacentral:rRNA from 1 species
CGGACGGGUGAGUAACGCGUGAGAAUCUGGCUUUAGGUCUGGGACAACCACUGGAAACGGUGGCUAAUACCGGAUGUGCCCGUAAUUGGGUGAAAGGUCAACUGCCUGAAGAUGAGCUCGCGUCUGAUUAGCUAGUUGGAAGUGUAAUGGACUCCCAAGGCGACGAUCAGUAGCUGGUCUGAGAGGACGAUCAGCCACACUGGGACUGAGACACGGCCCAGACUCCUACGGGAGGCAGCAGUGGGGAAUUUUCCGCAAUGGGCGAAAGCCUGACGGAGCAAUACCGCGUGAGGGAGGAAGGCUCUUGGGUCGUAAACCCCUUUUCUCAGGGAAGAACACAAUGACGGUACCUGAGGAAUAAGCAUCGGCUAACUCCGUGCCAGCAGCCGCGGUAAUACGGAGGAUGCAAGCGUUAUCCGGAAUGAUUGGGCGUAAAGCGUCCGCAGGUGGCAAUGUAAGUCUGCUGUUAAAGAGUCUAGCUCAACUAGAUACAAGCAGUGGAAACUACAUAGCUAGAGUACGUUCGGGGCAGAGGGAAUUCCUGGUGUAGCGGUGAAAUGCGUAGAGAUCAGGAAGAACACCAGUGGCGAAGGCGCUCUGCUAGGCCGUAACUGACACUGAGGGACGAAAGCUAGGGGAGCGAAUGGGAUUAGAUACCCCAGUAGUC